rnacentral:lncRNA from 10 species
UCACAAGGGAAAGCAUAUGUAGAUUGAAGCUAUGCAGAAUGAAGUCUCAACAGCUGAAGCUUACUGGGGAACCAAUGGUGCCCUAAAUUAAGAUAAUUUAUGAAAUGUUGGUCUCCCUCUGUUGCUGCCCAGGCUCCAGGCUGAAGUGCAGAGGCAUGAUCUUGGCUCACUGCCGCCUCCUCUUCCCAGGCUCAAGCGAUCCUCCCACAUUUGCCUCCUGAGUAGCUGAGACUACAGUCUUGCCUUGUCACCCAGGCUGGAGUGCAAUGGCACAAUCUCGGCUCACUGCAAUCUCUGCCUCCCAGGUUCAAGUGAUUCUUCUGCCUCAGCCUCCCAAGCAACUGGGACUACAG